GAGGGCGUAGCUCAGUGGUAGAGUGCAUGCCUAGCAUGAAUGAGGUCCUGGGUUCGAUCCCCAGUGCCCUCA
rnacentral:tRNA from 1 species